UGGCUGGUGCCAGUAAAGGGUAAAAGGGAAACAGGUGAAAAUCCUGUGCGAUCUCGUCACUGUAAGUCCGGAGUCCUGACCAUGUUUUUAUACAGUCACUGCUUCUUUUUGAAGUGGGAAGGCGGUUGGGGGCGAUGAGGGACAAGUCAGGAAACCUGCCAGCUGUG
rnacentral:ncRNA from 1 species